rnacentral:rRNA from 1 species
AGUGAACGCUGGCGGUAGGCCUAACACAUGCAAGUCGAACGGCAGCACAGCAGAGCUUGCUCUGUGGGUGGCGAGUGGCGGACGGGUGAGGAAUACAUGGGAAUCUGCCCAGUCGUGGGGGAUAACGUAGGGAAACUUACGCUAAUACCGCAUGCGCCCUUCGGGGGAAAGCCGGGGACCUUCGGGCCUGGCGCGAUUGGAUGAGCCCAUGUCGGAUUAGCUAGUUGGCGGGGUAAAGGCCCACCAAGGCGACGAUCCGUAGCUGGUCUGAGAGGAUGAUCAGCCACACUGGAACUGAGACACGGUCCAGACUCCUACGGGAGGCAGCAGUAGGGGAUAUUGGACAAUGGGCGCAAGCCUGAUCCAGCCAUGCUGCGUGAGUGAAGAAGGCCUUCGGGUUGUAAAGCUCUUUUGUCCGGAAAGAAAAGCAUCCAGUUAAUACCUGGGUGUCCUGACGGUACCGGAAGAAUAAGCACCGGCUAACUUCGUGCCAGCCGCCGCCGUAACAC